rnacentral:rRNA from 1 species
CCUACGGGUGGCAGCAGUGAGGAAUAUUGGUCAAUGGACGAGAGUCUGAACCAGCCAAGUAGCGUGAAGGAUGACUGCCCUAUGGGUUGUAAACUUCUUUUAUAUGGGAAUAAAAUGUUCCACGUGUGGGAUUUUGUAUGUACCAUAUGAAUAAGGAUCGGCUAACUCCGUGCCAGCAGCCGCGGUAAUACGGAGGAUCCGAGCGUUAUCCGGAUUUAUUGGGUUUAAAGGGAGCGUAGGUGGAUUGUUAAGUCAGUUGUGAAAGUUUGCGGCUCAACCGUAAAAUUGCAGUUGAAACUGGCAGACUUGAGUUGGCGAGAAGUACGCGGAAUGCGCGGUGUAGCGGUGAAAUGCAUAGAUAUCGCGCAGAACUCCGAUUGCGAAGGCAGCGUACCGGCGCCAGACUGACGCUGAGGCACGAAAGCGUGGGGAUCGAACAGGAUUAGAUACCCGUGUAGUC